rnacentral:rRNA from 1 species
AGAAUAAACACAUAAUAUUUAAAUACUUUAUAAAACAAAAAUCAUAAUAUAUUAUAUCUAGUACCGAAAGGGAAAUUAAUUCCUAUUUUAAAGCCAAUUAUAUAUUGUACCUUUUGCAUCAUGGUUUAGCAAUUAACACCCUAAAUGGUAUAACCCGAAAAAUAAUGAGCUGAAUAUAGUUUGUUAAGAACCCAUUAAUAACUGUUUCAAUAAUUUUAAAAAAACUAUAUCCAGUGGCUAUAUACCUUCCGCAUUAUUAGAUAGCUGGUUUUUCAAGAAAGCUAUAUUAAUAGCAAUAAUAUAAUUAAAUAAUUAUAUUUAUCCACUAUAAAGAGACUAAGCUCUCUAUAUUCCCCUAUAAUACAUAUUAAACCUAUACAUAAGUAGGAACCAUAGAACCCACCUUAAUUAAAGCCUAACUGCUAAAUUUUCAAAAAAGUAUUAAUUUAUUAAUUUAUUUUAUGGCCCAACUAUUGAAAAAUUUUACCAAACUCUAAUUAUAAAUUUCUCUGCUAAAAUUAGUAUUCAACAAAAUCUCUUUUAUUUAUUUACUUAAAAUAUAUAAUAACUACCAAAUAAUUAAAAAGGAACUCGGCAAAUAACUUUUCUUCGACUGUUUACCAAAAACACUGCCUUUUGAUCAAAAAUAAAAGGUCCCUCCUGCCCAGUGACCCAAGGGUUAAACGGCCGCGGUACCCUGACCGUGCUAAGGUAGCAUAAUAAUUCGCCCUUUAAUUGUGGGCAUGUAUGAAUGGACAAACGAAAGAAAUACUGUCUCCUUAAUUUUAAUAAAAAUUGACUUCUAGGUGAAGAUGCCUAGAUAUAAUUAGAAGACAAGAAGACCCCAUAGAGCUUAAUUAUUACUUUGCAUAAAUAAAUAAUAUAUUAUUAAUAUAAAUUCUCUAUACUGUUUAAAUAUAAUUUAGCUGGGGCGGCUAAGGAAAUUAAUCUUCCAUAUAAUUUCUUAGGUAAAUAAACCUUACUUUUUGACCCUUAUUUGAUAAAAAGAAAAGCUACCUUGGGGAUAACAGAUUAAUCCUUCUUGAGAGUUCACAUUAACAGAAGGGCUUGACACCUCGAUGUUGGCUUAAGAUACCCAUUGGGUUAGCAGCAGCCCAAAAAGGUAGGUUUGUUCAACCUUUAAAAUCUUACAUGAGCUGAGUUCAGACCGGCGCAAGCUAGGUCAGCUUCUAUCUCUAAUAUAAUAAUAUCUUAAUUGUACGAAAGGACCUUAAAAUAAAAAUAUUUUUAAUACAUGACAACAAAUAAUAAAUACAUAUUAAUUAUAAAUCUCUAAAUUGGUUGACAGAUUAAUGUAU